AUUGCCUCAGUAACGGCGAGUGAAGCGGCAAAAGCUCAAAUUUGAAAUCUGGCUCUUUUAGGGUCCGAGUUGUAAUUUGUAGAAGAUGUUUCGGGUGUGGCUCCGGUUUAAGUUCUUUGGAAUAUUACAUCAUAGAGGGUGAGAAUCCCGUAUGUGACCGGCAGCCUUCGCCUAUGUGAAACUCUUUCGACGAGUCGAGUUGUUUGGGAAUGCAGCUCAAAAUGGGAGGUAUAUUUCUUCUAAAGCUAAAUAUUGGCCAGAGACCGAUAGCGCACAAGUAGAGUGAUCGAAAGAUGAAAAGCACUUUGGAAAGAGAGUUAAACAGUACGUGAAAUUGUUGAAAGGGAAGCGCUUGCAACCAGACUUGCACGCAGUUGAUCAUCCGGUGUUCUCACCGGGGCACUCUGCUGCGUUCAGGCCAGCAUCGGUUUUGGUGGUUGGAUAAAGGCCUUGGGAAUGUGGCUUCCUUCGGGGAGUGUUAUAGCCCUCGGUGCAAUGCAGCCUACCGGGACCGAGGACCGCGCUUCGGCUAGGAUGCUGGCGUAAUGGUUGUAAGCGACCCGUCUUGAAACACGGACCAAGGAGUCUAACAUCUAUGCGAGUGUUUGGGUGUUAAACCCAUACGCGUAAUGAAAGUGAACGGAGGUGAGAACCCUUAAGGGUGCAUCAUCGACCGGUCCUGAUGUCUUCGGAUGGAUCUGAGUAAGAGCAUAGCUGUUGGGACCCGAAAGAUGGUGAACUAUGCGUGAAUAGGGUGAAGCCAGAGGAAACUCUGGUGGAGGCUCGCAGCGGUUCUGACGUGCAAAUCGAUCGUCAAAUUUGCGCAUAGGGGCGAAAGACUUAUCGAACCAUCUAGUAGCUGGUUCCUGCCGAAG
rnacentral:rRNA from 1 species